rnacentral:tRNA from 16 species
UACCUCAGUGGUUGUGCGACCGGCAUCGGAAGCAGUCGAUGCCGGUUCGAGUCCUACUGGCGU